rnacentral:rRNA from 1 species
CCUGCCAGUAGUGCACGCUCGUCUCAAAGACUAAGCCAUGCAUGUCUAAGUAUAAAUGUCAAUACAGUGAAACUGCGAAUGGCUCAUUAUAUCAGAAACAAUCUACAUGAUCGUUUUCUUACUUGGAUAACUGAGGAAAAUCUUGAGCUAAUACAUGCACAAAGCCUUGACUUUUGGAAGAGGCGUAUAUAUUAGAUAAAAAACCAACCGGGUAACCGUUAUUUGGUGAUUCAUAAUAUCUGCUCGAAUCGCAUAGCUUUACGCUGGCGAUGGUUCAUUCGAAUUUCUGCCCUAUCAAGUUUCGAAGGUAGGAUAGGGGCCUACCUUGCUAGUAACGGGUAACGGGGAAUUAGGGUUCGAUUCCGGAGAGGGAGCUUCGAGAGAUGGCUACCAGCAAGUCUGGUGCCAGCAGCCGCGGUAAUUCCAGCUCCAAUAGCGUAUAUUAAAGUUGUUGCAGUUAAAAAGCUCGUAGUCGAAUUUUGGGCUUGGCUGGGCGGUCGACCGCAAGGUUUGCACUGCUCUGGUUGAGCUCCAUUUGCUUGGGGAAGCCUGGUGCUCUUAAUUGAGUGCUAGGGGAAACCAGGACUUUUACUUUGAAGAAAUCGGAGUGUUUAAAGCAGGCAUAUGCUUGAACCGAAAGCAUUUGCCAAGGAUGUUUUCAUUGAUCAAGAACGAAAGUUAGGGGAUCGAAGACGAUCAGAUACCGUCGUAGUCUUAACCAUAAACUAUGCCAACUGCGGAUUGGGCGAGUAUACUUUUAUGUCUCGCUCAGCACGCUAUGAGAAAUCAAAGUUUUUGGGUUCCGGGGGGAGUAUGGUCGCAAGGCUGAAACUUAAAGGGAUUGACGGAAGGGCACCACCAGGAGUGGAGCCUGCGGCUUAAUUUGACCCAACACGGGGAAACUCACCAGGUUAGGACAUGGUAAGGAUUGACAGAUUGAGAGCUCUUUCUUGAUUCUAUGGGUGGUGGUGCAUGGCCGUUCUUAGUUGGUGGAGUGAUUUGUCUGGUUAAUUCCGUUAA